UUCCCACCUUUUUCACACCAUCUCUCAAGCUCACAACUUUGUUUUUACAGAUACCCGGUCAAUUAAAAGAAUACCCGACCCGUAUGAUUACUACUUUCAUAAACAUCUUUGUAAUAAUAUCCCAAUUUAACCUUAUUAACCCUGUUAUCUCUUCAAACGUAUCUCUCAGUCAUCCUCUCUGCCAAUUGCGAUCAUCUCAAACAUCAUUUUCGUAAAGAUCUGAUCACCUAAUCGACGGUAACUUCCUCCAUUCCAUCUUAGAUUCUUUGAUUUAUGCAUUCUUUUAUGUAAUUUUGUAUAUCUUAUGUGUUUUGAUCGAUUGGGAAAUCUGUUGAUCCGAUAAACAUCGAUGUCGUUAAACAAGUGGUCCUUUGGUCUUUUAUGAAGCUACUCUAUGCUUUAGGCGAUGAAUCUGAAUUUAACUGAAGCAUAAGAGGGUUCAUAUAUGAAAAAAUAGGGUUGCCGAAGAAGAUGAUGGUCAAAAGGGUUCAUCCAGAUUUGAUUUUGUUCAAAUCUAAAGAUUUAACUUCAAAUUAGGUUAAAACCAAUGAGUAAUUUUCAUUCAGAGGUGGAGAUUGACAAUUUGUGGUGCGAGAUGCAAGCAAUUUAUUUGACUAUGGCAGGGUUUAGUCUUCUAAAUAAAUGAAAUGGCAAUCACCACAGAAUAUGUGCAAUCAUGCAAGAUUGUGAAGUUAGCUGCUGUUAGAAUCAAUGGCAUGUUUGAAAGGAUACAAUUUUCUCAAGAAAUAAGAAAAGGUAUAUUGUCUUUUGUUGGACUUAUAAAAUGAACAGAUGAUUUCAAAAGCCAAAACAUGACUUCCUGGUUAAGAAAUAAAUAGAUAAUGAUACAUUCUCCUCCCAAAGAUAGUGAAUAUUGAACACUAAUCAGAACAUCUGUUAAAGACAUCAAAGAUCUGUUUGAAGGCAUGGAACAUCUGUUUAAGAAGAAGAAACCCCUGUUUGAUGGCCAAAGCCCUGUUGAAGACAAGCACUGGUCAUGAAGACCAAACAUCUGUUAUGGCCAAACAGAUGUUUGAUACAAGUCAGUAGUGGUAUGAAGAACAGUGGUUUAGUCAAUGUAACAGUGUUAGCUUUGAACAUAUGUUUUAUGUAAUAGAUCAGAUGAUAGAUUUGUGCAGAUGUUUGCUAACAUCUGAGGAAUCUUUUCUGUUAGGAACGUUAGAUGUCACUAUUUGGGUGACGUGAGUUGAUUUCAAACAGACCUUUCGUACCCAUAUAAAUAGAUUUCAUGUGUUAGAGAUCUAUUUCAUCACUUAUCAUUCCUUUUUAUACGAACAGAAAAGUUGCGUGAUCAGGCUGAGGGGGAGUUUAUACAAUCAUUACUGUAAUUUGUAAUCCUUUGAUUAUUAAUGCAAAACAGUUUUGAUAUAA